AGAAUCAACGCUGGCGGCGUGCCUAACACAUGCAAGUCGCACGAGAAAGGGUAGCAAUACCUGAGUAAAGUGGCGCACGGGCGAGUAACACGUGAAUUAUCUACCUCCGAGUGGGGAAUAACUGAGAGAAAUCUUAGCUAAUACCGCAUAACACUUACGAGUCAAAGCAGCAAUGCGCUUGGAGAGGAGUUCGCGGCAGAUUAGUUAGUUGGCGGGGUGACGGCCCACCAAGGCGACGACGGGUA
rnacentral:rRNA from 1 species